rnacentral:rRNA from 1 species
GAUGAACGCUGGCGGCGUGCCUAAUACAUGCAAGUCGAACGCGAAAGUGGAGCAAUCCAUGAGUAGAGUGGCAAACGGGUGAGUAACACGUGGGUGACCUGCCUUAGAGUGGGGGAUAACGUCCCGAAAGGGACGCUAAUACCGCAUAACAUGCUGCCUUUUAAGAGGUGGACAUCAAAGCCGGGGACCGCAAGGCCUGGCGCUUAAAGAGGGGCCCGCGCCUGAUUAGCUAGUUGGUGGGGUAAUGGCUCACCAAGGCAACGAUCAGUAUCCGGCCUGAGAGGGCGGACGGACACACUGGGACUGAGACACGGCCCAGACUCCUACGGGAGGCAGCAGUGGGGAAUUGUUCGCAAUGGGCGCAAGCCUGACGACGCAACGCCGCGUGGAGGAUGAAGAUCUUCGGGUUGUAAACUCCUUUCGAUCGAGACGAAUGGCCCUUGGGCUAACAUCCUGAGGGAGUGACGGUACCGAGAGAAGAAGCCCCGGCUAACUCCGUGCC